rnacentral:tRNA from 1 species
AGUUCUAUACUUUAGAAAAAGGCUUGAUUUGCAAUCAAUCAUCGAGUGACCCCAAACACUCUAGAACUACU